AGCUGGGCAUGCGCAGUGCCAGAGGCUGGCAGAGGAGGCGCUGGCAGAGACGCCAGGUGGGUCUGCGCUUUGGGACGGGAACCUCACAGCCACAGUCACGUCCCCAGAAAAGGGAACACAGGACUUGGAGACGUUUCGAUGUUUUCAAGACCUGGGAAACGUGUUUAAAGGCAAACAGCAAAGCUUGACCAUGUAGAGAUAGAUGUCCUUCCUAUUUAGCAAUUCACUCAGAGAGAAGAGAACGCGUGAUUUGGGGGCAGAAGAGAAAGAAACUGAGUUGAGAAACAGAAAAUUCAGAUUUUCUAAAAGCGUCCAGAAGUGAACAGUGAGUAAAAACGCCCCACGUGACACUGAGAAAUGUCCCCAGAGCCGCGCAGUCCCAAGGCCGCCAUUGAAAAGUCUCCACGCUGGAACUGCUAUUUCCAGCACUUACUGUCAGGGACUGAGUUUGAGUUUGCGUUUUGCAAACCAUCUCCUCCAUCGUUUUGGUUUUCCACAGUGACGCAAAGAGUUGCCCUCCCUCUCUGGUUUCUUAUGGCGGCUGGUUUCCUUCCAUCUUUUUCAAAUAACGCAUUUCCACUUAGCUGGUGCCGUCUUCUGGGAUUAAUUAGUGACUGCGCAAGGUACACGGGGUUUCCGCGGCCGGCACCUCUUGACAGACGGCAGUUGGAAAGAAAUGGGAAAUGAUUGCAGAGAUGGAAGAAAAAAAAAGACCUAAAUUAUAGGAACCAACAGUCCCUGUUGCUGGAAAAUGCUGGGGAUCUGGAGUGAAUAAAUAUUCCUGAGAUGAGACGACCGUGACCUUGUGUGGGGAGCUUGACCUUUCUGUGUUGGUUCCUUCACGACAGCAUUGAAAUCCACUCAAGUCCACUCACAUUUAGAAAAUUCUACUUUGACUCAUCUUUCUCCAGCUGCCGCCCUCCAUCUGGCCUUGACGUCACAGCUGUGGUGUUUCUGUUCUCCCAUCUUCGCCCACAUCCAUUAAACUUGGCGCCUGGCCCCAUCCCUCCACUGAAACCCUCUGGCAAGGGGCCCACGUGGCGUCCUGACUGUUGAACGGGCCAUUCGCAGUCCUCCUCUUAUUGAUGCCUCAGCCUUUGUCCCUCUGAGAGGGGGGAUAGCAUAGUGGUUAGGAGACUGGGGUCACAACCUCUCUGUGCCUCAGUUUUUCAUCUGUAAAAGGAGAUAAUUAUACCGCGCAUGAAAGUGCUUAGAAUACUGUCUGGCCUCUUGUAAGCGCUCAGUUAGUGCUCUUUAUUAUCAUUACUGACCACUCCUGCCUGAACUGCAUACUUGGGCGUUGUCGACUGGGCAUAUCUGGAUUCUGAUCUUAACCCUCCAACGCUGAGUUCAUCCUCCUCCCCCUGUGCCUCCUGCUCCAGCGUUCUCUCACUUCGUGAAUGGAUCCAUUGGACGCAAGGCUGCCAAGGCCAGAAGCCUGGGUCUGCCUCUUGACUCUGCCUUCUCCAUUAGCACCCAGAGCUGAUCAGUGACAAACCCCCUUCUAGAAUUUUCUUAAUAUUUGUCAGCUCUGUCUCCUCUUCUUCAUCCUCACCGCCAGUUCCUGAGAGCACAUGGCCACUGCAUCCUGCCUGCCUCUUGAUUUCAAAUCCGUCUUCCGGAGCGGCCUUGCUGGAAACAGAUGCGUGCGAGUGUCAGUGCCCCGUAAGGCUCUCAGUGGCACUGGCUCUGGAGGCCGAGCAGGCUCGCCUGACCUGCCCUCCCUGCUCCCCGCUCCUCCAGCUGCAGGCCUCUGUCCCUCUGAGCCGUGUGUCCCUCACGCCUGCUCUGGGCAUAGCCACACCUAACUAUUUGCAGUCACUUGAAACGUGACGGAAACAUGACUCAGACCCGGGGUGAAAAUACGGCAGACUGGGCUGAAAACCAUCCAAAGGGAGUGGAAUGAGAGGCGGCCCGGGCACCGGCUCCCUCCUAAGGAGGCUGCCUGGAUUCCCCCGUGCCAGCUCCACACACCCGUGGAGCCCCCGGAA
ensembl:lncRNA